CCUACGGGGGGCAGCAGUGAGGAAUAUUGGUCAAUGGGCGCAAGCCUGAACCAGCCAAGUAGCGUGAAGGAUGACUGCCCUACGGGUUGUAAACUUCUUUUAUAAAGGGAUAAAAUGAUGCACGUGUGCCUUUUUGUAUGUACUUUAUGAAUAAGGAUCGGCUAACUCCGUGCCAGCAGCCGCGGUAAUACGGAGGAUCCGAGCGUUAUCCGGAUUUAUUGGGUUUAAAGGGAGCGUAGGGGGGUUGUUAAGUCAGUUGUGAAAGUCUGCGGCUCAACCGGAACAUUGCAGUUGAUACUGGAAGCCUUGAGUACAGUAGAGGCAGGCGGAAUUCGUGGUGUAGCGGUGAAAUGCUUAGAUAUCACGAAGAACCCCGAUUGCGAAGGCAGCCUACUAAACUGCCACUGACAUUGAUGCUCGAAAGUGUGGGUAUCAAACAGGAUUAGAUACCCGGGUAGUC
rnacentral:rRNA from 1 species